rnacentral:rRNA from 1 species
UGCGUAGGGUGCAAGCGUUGUCCGGAAUUAUUGGGCGUAAAGAGCUCGUAGGCGGUCUGUCACGUCGGCUGUGAAAACCCGGGGCUCAACCCCGGGCCUGCAGUCGAUACGGGCAGACUAGAGUGCGGUAGGGGAGACUGGAAUUCCUGGUGUAGCGGUGAAAUGCGCAGAUAUCAGGAGGAACACCGGUGGCGAAGGCGGGUCUCUGGGCCGUAACUGACGCUGAGGAGCGAAAGCGUGGGGAGCGAACAGG